rnacentral:rRNA from 1 species
UUGACCUCGGAUCAGGCAGGGAUACCCGCUGAACUUAAGCAUAUCAAUAAGCGGAGGAAAAGAAACCAACAGGGAUUGCCUCAGUAACGGCGAGUGAAGCGGCAACAGCUCAAAUUUGAAAUCUGGCUCUUUUAGGGUCCGAGUUGUAAUUUGUAGAGGAUGCUUCGGCGUCGGCUCCGGUCUAAGUUCCUUGGAACAGGACGUCAUAGAGGGUGAGAAUCCCGUAUGUGAUCGGUUGCCCUUGCCAUGUGAAGCUCCCUCGACGAGUCGAGUUGUUUGGGAAUGCAGCUCUAAAUGGGAGGUAAAUUUCUUCUAAAGCUAAAUACUGGCCAGAGACCGAUAGCGCACAAGUAGAGUGAUCGAAAGAUGAAAAGCACUUUGGAAAGAGAGUCAAAAAGUACGUGAAAUUGUUGAAAGGGAAGCGCUUGCAACCAGACCUGCCUGCAGUUGCUCAUCCGGGCUUUUGCCCGGUGCACUCUUCUGCUGUCAGGCCAGCAUCAGUUCGGGCGGUCGGAUAAAGGCUUCGGGAAUGUAGCUCCUCUCGAGGAGUGUUAUAGCCCGUUGCGAAAUGCGGCCAGCCUGAACUGAGGUCCGCGCUUCGGCUAGGAUGCUGGCGUAAUGGUUGUAAGCGGCCCGUCUUGAAACACGGACC